rnacentral:rRNA from 1 species
AUUGAACGCUGGCGGCAGGCCUAACACAUGCAAGUCGAACGAGUGGCGGACGGGUGAGUAAUGUCUGGGAAACUGCCUGAUGGAGGGGGAUAACUACUGGAAACGGUAGCUAAUACCGCAUACCAUCAGAUGUGCCCAGAUGGGAUUAGCUUGUUGGGUGGGUAACGGCUGACAAAGGCGACGAUACCUAGCUGGUCUGAGAGGAUGACCAGUCACACUGGAACUUAGACACGGUCCAGACUCCUACGGGAGGCAGCAGUGGGGAAUAUUGCACAAUGGGCGCAAGCCGGAUGCAGCCAUGCCGCGUGUAUGAAGAAGUCCUUCGGGUUGUAAAGUACUUUCAGCGGGGAGGCGUUACCCGCAGAAGAAGCACCGGCUAACUCCGUGCCAGCAGCCGCGGUAAUAC